rnacentral:rRNA from 1 species
UACGGGAGGCAGCAGUGGGGAAUAUUGCACAAUGGGCGCAAGCCUGAUGCAGCCAUGCCGCGUGUAUGAAGAAGGCCUUCGGGUUGUAAAGUACUUUCAGUCGUGAGGAAGGUGUUAAGGUUAAUAACCUUAGCAAUUGACGUUAGCGACAGAAGAAGCACCGGCUAACUCCGUGCCAGCAGCCGCGGUAAUACGGAGGGUGCGAGCGUUAAUCGGAAUUACUGGGCGUAAAGGGCACGCAGGCGGUUAAUUAAGUUGGAUGUGAAAUCCCCGGGCUUAACCUGGGAAUGGCAUUCAAGACUGGUUAGCUAGAGUCUUGUAGAGGGGGUAGAAUUCCAUGUGUAGCGGUGAAAUGCGUAGAGAUGUGGAGGAAUACCGGUGGCGAAGGCGGCCCCUGGACAAAGACUGACGCUCAUGUGCGAAAGCGUGGAGAGCAAACAGGGAUUAGAUACC